AAUCUGAGAAGAAUGAGUGUUGUGAACAGUUUCUUUUUCUAUUUCUGUUUACUAUCUUGUUACAUUAGAGAGAGAAGUAAUUAAAUCAACAUAAUUUCCAGAUGUGUUGAGCUACCUCACCUCAAGAUCAAGUCCUGAAGUCAGAACUGAAUGAGAUCAACUAAGGAAAGCAUCAGAGGUUGACAGAAAACAUUUUGUCUUGCAUCCCGUAGUUUUAGUUAGACAUAUAUGGAAUUAUAACCCCAAGUCUACCUUAACUCCAUUUCCUGGUAAAUCUUAUUUUUUUAUUUAACAGGAAGAAAGGACUACUGAAAGAAAUAGGAAGCCAAAAGAGAUCACUGAAGAAAAUAAAUCUUCCAGCAUAAGAAAAUAUAAAGCAGAUAAUGAAAGCCAGUGUCUGCCUGUCAUUUGUGUCUUUGAAAAUGUCUCCUGAAGCCCAGAAAUAUAAUGGAGUACAGUUUUGACGCUGACAGCUCAGAAGAACAGUCAGUCAAUGUGUCCUGUUUUUUUGAACAAGAACUCUGCAACUGUCAACAAGAUCUUACCAGACUUCCAUUAAGAUACCUUUUGCAUUGUCAUAAAGCAACAGGACAGGACUGAGGUUGUUUCUGUACUUCUUGUACAGGGCACUCUACAGGAUACUGGACUGCUCUUUAUUACUGUCCCUAACCUGAAGUACUGAAGAAUUUAUACAGACUCCUCAGAAACCUGUUCUCACAAGGAUUCAGGAACAGGAUGGGAAAUGAAUGAAAGCUAUACCCAGUUCUCUCCCAUCUUGCCUCUGACAGAGGCUGGAGGAUGCAUAAGAAAAAAGAUAGCACCAGAGAAAGGAUAUCUCCCUGGAUAUUUUUCCUUACUUGGAGAAAUUAAAAGUUACAGGAAUUAGAUGAAUUUGUCUAACUUUGAACAUGAUAAUGAUUUGUUUCCCAUGAUGUUCUCUAGAAAUAAGCUCCAAAUUACUAAUGCAUCAUUUGAAAAAUAACUUCCUUGUAUUUAUUUUAAUUUUGGAGAGUGAUCAGAGAACCCGUAGCUCUUCUGUUUAGAGUGUCUUAUCUCCUUUUGGAUGUUUCUUUACAAGCUGAAAAGUCUUAUUUUGGUUAGCUUUUCGUCAUGUCUGAUCAUAUUUGCUGGCCUACGCUGCACCGUUUUUACACCUACUGUA